ACCUUAGUUACCAUGAUAAUAUACUGAGCAAAACCAAAUUGGGGAAUUAAGGGCUUUAUUGGCUUACAGGUUACAGUUCAUCACCAAGGGAAGUCAGGAAACCUGGAGACAGGAGCUGAAGCAGAGACCAUGGAGGAAAGCUACUUAUUGGCUUGCUCUCCAUGGAGUCAGCUCCUUUUUUGUACAAAGCCCAGGUUCUCUGCUUCUGAGCCACAUCCCCAGUCUCUAUUCACUAUUGCAUCGGAGAUCAAGUCUGUGUCGUGAUAUGGGAGAGGUACUCAGUUGAAGCCAGCUUGUGCUUGAAUCCUCAGCCACUAAUGUUAAUGCUGAAGUCGAGCUCAUUGCCAACUGUUCUCCUUCUCUGUGAGAGCCAUGAUCAACUUGCAGCAAUUUUCAAGCAUGCCAUAGAUCUUCAUGAGUUACAGUCACAUUUUGCGAUAAAUCUUUUGAAUUUAUUAUUCUUUCUAAUUGGAAUUUUGUAUCCUCAUAGCAACAACUUUGCAUCCUCUCCUCCUUGUCCUGGGCUCUGCAGAGGCAUCAAAUGCAACCUCUGGAAGUUAGCAUAUGAAGCCAUCUCUCCUGUAAAGGAUACGCUCAAGACAUAUAUUCCGAUCAUACAUGACUUCUAGCCAUCUGGUGAUCCAGGAAUUAAACACAUGAAUAUAUAGUCAUGGAACAGAGAAAAAAAAAACUCCAAUAUAUCAAAAGGGAACAAAGAAGAAGAGAGCUCCACAGUUGAAAGAAUGCAUUGUAUUGGCUGAUACUUUUUAAGAAAGUGGGACAAAAAGAAAGCAUCUUCAAAAAGUGGUGCUGGUCUUACUGGAUGUCUGCAUAUAGACGAACACAAAUAGCCCCAUUUUUAUCACCCUGCACAAAACUCAAGCCCAAGUGGAUCAAAGACCUCAACAUGAAACCAACUAGAAGA